rnacentral:lncRNA from 1 species
GCGAGUUAAAUGCUGGCAUUUAAUGAGUCUUCUAUCGCACCGUUGCAAUGCAAUUGAUGUUCGAUAUCCAAGUAAAGGAAAAGAUCUUAGAAAAGUGAGUUUUUAUGAUUCGAUGAAGAAUCUAACUUAUUUAAAUGUUCCUAUUAUUCUACAGGUUAAUUGAAUAUAAAUUAUUGACAUUUAAUAAACUUUUAUUUGCUCGCAAUUCUACAAUUUGUAUUAAAAUUAUAUAUUAUUCAUUUAUUCUCAUUUUGCAUUUAAAUGACUAGUUUUUAUCAUUAUUUAAUAUGAUGUUGGUUCUAUCUUUUUACGUACGCUGUCGUAUUUAUGUCACACGAGCAUGUUUAUGCUAAGUAAGCAUAUUUAUGUUAUUCGUCACACCGAAAAGUGAACAAGUAUCCAAAAUAAGAAAAAAAAUUAGUUAAUAAUUUUAAUUUAGAUUUAAAAUUAAUAAAAAUAAAAAUUCAUUGAAAUUUCAAUAAUUUAUAUAUAAUUAAUUUUAUUCUAUAUUUCUUUGAAAGGGGGCAUAACCGAUAGGAACUUUAAAAUAACUUUCGUAUAUAACUUCAUUUUUUUUAUUUUGGGGACCCCCCUUUAGUUUUCCCUUUUUCAAUUGUAUUCUUUUCACAACAUUUAUAUUGGUUUUGAGUAUAGUUGAAAUUUAAGUCACCUUCAAUUAUAGAAAGUGAUUAACCCUUUCAUUUAAUUCUACAAAUAAUUCAAUGCAUUUUGAGAGAAGAAAAUCUUAAUACAUUUAGUCUCAACCAAAAAUGAUGACCAUACACAAAAAUUGUGUUUUCUUAAAUCUUAGCCUCCACUCUAUUUUCUACCCCAUGUGCAGACACAAUUGGGAUGUGUUUAGUACUCAACGUUAGCCUUCGGCUCGCGGCGGCCGGUGGAGCGCCACUUUUUCCGACGCCAAUCUCCGGCCCCGCCUCGGCUGAUGAUGAGACGAAAGCGCUAACGACGAUCAUUAUCGCUACACUCAUCACCAGCAUCCUCGCCAUCACGCGAUCGAGAGAAAUGUACCAACGAUUUCUCUCUUCAAAAUUUGCUAAAAUUAAAUUUUGGUUAAAUUUCUGUUUUGG